UAACCUGCCUGGUAGCGGGGGAUAACUAUUGGAAACGAUAGCUAAUACCGCAUAAGAGUAGAUGCUGCAUGACAUUUACUUAAAAGAAUGCAAUUGCAUCACUACCAGAUGGACCUGCGUUGUAUUAGCUAGUUGGUGGGGUAACGGCUCACCAAGGCGACGAUACAUAGCCGACCUGAGAGGGUGAUCGGCCACACUGGGACUGAGACACGGCCCAG
rnacentral:rRNA from 1 species